rnacentral:rRNA from 1 species
UCGAGGGGCAGCGGGGUAGUGCUUGCACUACUGCCGGCGACCGGCGCACGGGUGAGUAACACGUAUGGAACCUGCCCGCAGCAGGGGGAUAAGCGGAAGAAAUUCCGUCUAAUACCGCGUAACAACGUUGGGAGGCAUCUCCCGAUGUUUAAAGAUUUAUCGGCUGCGGAUGGCCAUGCGGCGCAUUAGCUAGUCGGCGGGGUAACGGCCCACCGAGGCGACGAUGCGUAGGGGUUCUGAGAGGAAGGUCCCCCACACUGGUACUGAGACACGGACCAGACUCCUACGGGAGGCAGCAGUGAGGAAUAUUGGUCAAUGGCCGAGAGGCUGAACCAGCCAAGUCGCGUGAGGGAAGACGGCCCUACGGGUUGUAAACCUCUUUUGUCGGGGAGCAAAGCGAACCACGUGUGGUUCAUUGAGAGUACCCGAAGAAAAAGCAUCGGCUAACUCCGUGCCAGCAGCCGCGGUAAUACGGAGGAUGCGAGCGUUAUCCGGAUUUAUUGGGUUUAAAGGGUGCGCAGGCGGAGGUGCAAGUCAGCGGUCAAAUUGCGGGGCUCAACCCCGUACUGCCGUUGAAACUGCAUCCCUUGAGUGCGCGAGAAGUAUGCGGAAUGCGUGGUGUAGCGGUGAAAUGCAUAGAUAUC